AAUGCGCAGCUGCAGCUGGUUGAAGGGGACCAAAUCCAGCCAGCAGUCGAUUUGGUUCCAUUUUACCAGCUCUAGCAAAGCAUCGGC
rnacentral:pre_miRNA from 17 species